UGAAGGCCUACAAACUGGUUCCUGAAGCCUAUCGCCAGCAAUUUCGAAGCUGGAGAAAAGCUGCCCUGAGGCUGGAUAUGCCCUUUAAGCUACAGGUGGAUGCCAGCCAGGUUGGUGCUGGAGCUGUAUUAUUACAGACAGGGGAGAAUGAUCUGUACUAUCCCGUGAUUGGCUGAAGUGAGUGGUUGUUGUACACCUGAACGUAAUUAGGACUCUCUAUAAGAGACUGGGACAGAGA